rnacentral:rRNA from 1 species
GACGAACGCUGGCGGCGUGCUUAACACAUGCAAGUCGAACGAUGAAGCACCAGCUUGCUGGUGUGGAUUAGUGGCGAACGGGUGAGUAACACGUGAGUAACCUGCCCCUCACUCUGGGAUAAGCUUGGGAAACGGGGCUUAAUACUGGAUCGGACCGACCCCCCCAUGGAGGGUGGGGGGAAGGUUUUGUGGGGGGGGAUGGACUCGCGGCCUAUCCGCUUGUUGGUGGGGUAAUGGCCUACCAAGGCGACGACGGGUAGCCGGCCUGAGAGGGCGACCGGCCACACUGGGACUGAGACACGGCCCAGACUCCUACGGGAGGCAGCAGUGGGGAAUAUUGCACAAUGGGCGAAAGCCUGAUGCAGCGACGCCGCGUGAGGGAUGACGGCCUUCGGGUUGUAAACCUCUUUCACCAGGGACGAAGCUAACGUGACGGUACCUGGAGAAGAAGCACCGGCUAACUACGUG